UGCACCACUUUCAUUGUUGCCCACAAUCAUAUUGGCAGACUUGGAGUCCUGCGCCGGCUUCUUGUACUUGUUUGGGCACUUGUUCGCCCAAUGUUCCUCUGAACCACAAGUAUAGCAGCCAUCUCCCUUCUUAUUCUUCUUGAAGGGCUUCUGUCCCUUCUUCUUGAAGUCGGUAUUCUGUUGGACAGAAUUCUUUCCCU
rnacentral:lncRNA from 1 species